CAGUCAUCACUGCAAACCUUGACGGUGAUCAACAGAACCCAAGAACAGAGCAUCAGGAUUAUAGUGUUUUAGGGGAGGUGCUCUCUGGAGACAUCCUGUUCUACGCAGUGAGGGUUUGCUCUCUAACAGUCUGUGAAGCAGAUGAACUAAUCCACUGCAAGAUGGUGCUCAUCGCUUUACUUUUGUUCUGUACUCUUGCAUGUGUGAGUUUUGGGAAUGUCAUCACACCGGUCCAGCCUGAGGUGUUUGGGACAGAGGGGGAAAAUAUAACUCUGUCCUGUAACUACUCUUCAGCAGUUACUCUGCAGUGGUAUCGCCAAUAUCCAAACUCAGCUCCUGAAUUUCUUUUGGUAAUACUUCAAGGGACAGGGAAAGUUUCACAGAAGUCUAAAAUUGUGGACCAAGAUCCUCGAUUCUCUGGAAAACUGAAUGAAAAGAAAACCCAUGUGGAUCUGGUGAUCUCCUCUGUUAAAGUGACAGACUCUGCUCUGUACUACUGUGCUCUGACGCCCACAGUGACAGGAAACACAAGAACACUGUACAAAAACCUGACAUUAUGUUAAUCAUCCAGUGGGUUCAUUGGUAAUCAUUCAGCACAUUUCUGCAGACAUUUGUUCUGGUUAGCUUAAAAUAA